rnacentral:rRNA from 1 species
CCUACGGGGCGCUGCAGUGGGGAAUAUUGCACAAUGGGCGCAAGCCUGAUGCAGCCAUGCCGCGUGUGUGAAGAAGGCCUUCGGGUUGUAAAGCACUUUCAGCGGGGAGGAAGGCGUUAAGGUUAAUAACCUUGGCGAUUGACGUUACCCGCAGAAGAAGCACCGGCUAACUCCGUGCCAGCAGCCGCGGUAAUACGGAGGGUGCAAGCGUUAAUCGGAAUUACUGGGCGUAAAGCGCACGCAGGCGGUCUGUCAAGUCGGAUGUGAAAUCCCCGGGCGCAACCUGGGAACUGCAUUCGAAACUGGCAGGGUAGAGUCUUGUAGAGGGGGGUAGAAUUCCAGGUGUAGCGGUGAAAUGCGUAGAGAUCUGGAGGAGUACCGGUGGCGAAGGCGGCCCCCUGGACAAAGACUGACGCUCAGGUGCGAAGGCGUGGGGAGCAAGCAGGAUUAGAUACCCUUGAAGUC